AGAGUUUGAUCAUGGCUCAGAUUGAACGCUGGCGGCAUGCCUAACACAUGCAAGUCGAACGAGGUCAGGGUGCUUGCACUCUGACCUAGUGGCGGACGGGUGAGGAAUACGUAGGAAUCUGCCCUAGAGUGGGGGAUAGCCCGGGGAAACCCGGAUUAAUACCGCAUGAUCUCUAUGGAGCAAAGCAGGGGACCGAAAGGCCUUGCGCUCUGGGAGGAGCCUACGUCUGAUUAGCUUGUUGGCGGGGUAAUGGCCCACCAAGGCGACGAUCAGUAGCUGGUCUGAGAGGACGAUCAGCCACACCGGAACUGAGACACGGUCCGGACUCCUACGGGAGGCAGCAGUGGGGAAUAUUGGACAAUGGGCGCAAGCCUGAUCCAGCAAUGCCGCGUGUGUGAAGAAGGCCUUCGGGUUGUAAAGCACUUUAGCCAGGGAAGAAAAAGCACGGGCUAAUAUCCUGUGUGUUGACGGUACCUGGAGAAUAAGCACCGGCUAACUCUGUGCCAGCAGCCGCGGUAAUACAGAGGGUGCGAGCGUUAAUCGGAUUUACUGGGCGUAAAGCGUGUGUAGGUGGCUACGCAAGUCGGUUGUGAAAGCCCCGGGCUCAACCUGGGAAUUGCUUCCGAAACUGUGUAGCUAGAGUACGGUAGAGGGCGGUGGAAUUUCCGGUGUAGCGGUGAAAUGCGUAGAUAUCGGAAGGAACACCAAUGGCGAAAGCAGCCGCCUGGGCCUGUACUGACACUGAGACACGAAAGCGUGGGGAUCAAACAGGAUUAGAUACCCUGGUAGUCCACGCCGUAAACGAUGAGAACUUGACGUCGGCAUGCUCUGCGUGUCGGUGUCGUAGCUAACGCGAUAAGUUCUCCGC
rnacentral:rRNA from 1 species